rnacentral:rRNA from 1 species
UGGGGGAUAUUGCACAAUGGGGGGAACCCUGAUGCAGCGACGCCGCGUGGAUGAAGAAGCGCCUCGGCGCGUAAAGCCCUGUCAGCAGGGAAGAAAAUGACGGUACCUGAAGAAGAAGCCCGGCUAACUACGUGCC